rnacentral:rRNA from 1 species
GUCCGGCCGGCUGCCUAUACUUGCAAGUUCGAGCGAAUGGGAUUGAGAAGCUUGCUCUCAAGAAGUUAGCGGCGGACGGGUGAGUAACACGUGGGUAACCUGCCCAUAAGACUGGGAUAACUCCGGGAAACCGGGGCUAAUACCGGAUAACAUUUUGAACUGCAUGGUUCGAAAUUGAAAGGCGGCUUCGGCUGUCACUUAUGGAUGGACCCGCGUCGCAUUAGCUAGUUGGUGAGGUAACGGCUCACCAAGGCAACGAUGCGUAGCCGACCUGAGAGGGUGAUCGGCCACACUGGGACUGAGACACGGCCCAGACUCCUACGGGAGGCAGCAGUAGGGAAUCUUCCGCAAUGGACGAAAGUCUGACGGAGCAACGCCGCGUGAGUGAUGAAGGCUUUCGGGUCGUAAAACUCUGUUGUUAGGGAAGAACAAGUGCUAGUUGAAUAAGCUGGCACCUUGACGGUACCUAACCAGAAAGCCACGGCUAACUACGUGCCAGCAGCCGCGGUAAUACGUAGGUGGCAAGCGUUAUCCGGAAUUAUUGGGCGUAAAGCGCGCGCAGGUGGUUUCUUAAGUCUGAUGUGAAAGCCCACGGCUCAACCGUGGAGGGUCAUUGGAAACUGGGAGACUUGAGUGCAGAAGAGGAAAGUGGAAUUCCAUGUGUAGCGGUGAAAUGCGUAGAGAUAUGGAGGAACACCAGUGGCGAAGGCGACUUUCUGGUCUGUAACUGACACUGAGGCGCGAAAGCGUGGGGACAACAGUUUCCA